rnacentral:rRNA from 1 species
GAUGAACGCUGGCGGCGUGCCUAAUACAUGCAAGUCGAGCGAACAGAUGAGGAGCUUGCUCCUCUGACGUUAGCGGCGGACGGGUGAGUAACACGUGGAUAACCUACCUAUAAGACUGGGAUAACUUCGGGAAACCGGAGCUAAUACCGGAUAAUCUAUUGAACCGCAUGGUUCAAUAGUGAAAGACGGUUUUGCUGUCACUUAUAGAUGGAUCCGCGCCGCAUUAGCUAGUUGGUAAGGUAACGGCUUACCAAGGCAACGAUGCGUAGCCGACCUGAGAGGGUGAUCGGCCACACUGGAACUGAGACACGGUCCAGACUCCUACGGGAGGCAGCAGUAGGGAAUCUUACGCAAUGGGCGAAAGCCUGACGGAGCAACGCCGCGUGAGUGAUGAAGGUCUUCGGAUCGUAAAACUCUGUUAUUAGGGAAGAACAAAUGUGUAAGUAACUAUGCACGUCUUGACGGUACCUAAUCAGAAAGCCACGGCUAACUACGUG